UAGGGAAUCUUCCGCAAUGGGCGAAAGCCUGACGGAGCAACGCCGCGUGAGUGAUGAAGGUCUUCGGAUCGUAAAACUCUGUUAUUAGGGAAGAACAAAUGUGUAAGUAACUAUGCACGUCUUGACGGUACCUAAUCAGAAAGCCACGGCUAACUACGUGCCAGCAGCCGCGGUAAUACGUAGGGGCAAGCGUUAUCCGGAAUUAUUGGGCGUAAAGCGCGCGUAGGCGGUUUUUUAAGUCUGAUGUGAAAGCCCACGGCUCAACCGUGGAGGGUCAUUGGAAACUGGAAAACUUGAGUGCAGAAGAGGAAAGUGGAAUUCCAUGUGUAGCGGUGAAAUGCGCAGAGAUAUGGAGGAACACCAGUGGCGAAGGCGACUUUCUGGUCUGUAACUGACGCUGAUGUGCGAAAGCGUGGGGAUCAAACAGG
rnacentral:rRNA from 1 species